rnacentral:rRNA from 2 species
AGAGUUUGAAUCCUGGCUCAGGAUGAACGCUGGCGGCGUGCCUAAUACAUGCAAGUCGAACGAGUUCUUGUUGAUGAUCGGUGCUUGCACCAAGAUUCAACAUGGAACGAGUGGCGGACGGGUGAGUAACACGUGGGUAACCUGCCCUUAAGUGGGGGAUAACAUUUGGAAACAGAUGCUAAUACCGCAUAGAUCCAAGAACCGCAUGGUUCUUGGCUGAAAGAUGGCGUAAGCUAUCGCUUUUGGAUGGACCCGCGGCGUAUUAGCUAGUUGGUGAGGUAAUGGCUCACCAAGGCGAUGAUACGUAGCCGAACUGAGAGGUUGAUCGGCCACAUUGGGACUGAGACACGGCCCAAACUCCUACGGGAGGCAGCAGUAGGGAAUCUUCCACAAUGGACGCAAGUCUGAUGGAGCAACGCCGCGUGAGUGAAGAAGGCUUUCGGGUCGUAAAACUCUGUUGUUGGAGAAGAAUGGUCGGCAGAGUAACUGUUGUCGGCGUGACGGUAUCCAACCAGAAAGCCACGGCUAACUACGUGCCAGCAGCCGCGGUAAUACGUAGGUGGCAAGCGUUAUCCGGAUUUAUUGGGCGUAAAGCGAGCGCAGGCGGUUUUUUAAGUCUGAUGUGAAAGCCCUCGGCUUAACCGAGGAAGCGCAUCGGAAACUGGGAAACUUGAGUGCAGAAGAGGACAGUGGAACUCCAUGUGUAGCGGUGAAAUGCGUAGAUAUAUGGAAGAACACCAGUGGCGAAGGCGGCUGUCUGGUCUGUAACUGACGCUGAGGCUCGAAAGCAUGGGUAGCGAACAGGAUUAGAUACCCUGGUAGUCCAUGCCGUAAACGAUGAAUGCUAGGUGUUGGAGGGUUUCCGCCCUUCAGUGCCGCAGCUAACGCAUUAAGCAUUCCGCCUGGGGAGUACGACCGCAAGGUUGAAACUCAAAGGAAUUGACGGGGGCCCGCACAAGCGGUGGAGCAUGUGGUUUAAUUCGAAGCAACGCGAAGAACCUUACCAGGUCUUGACAUCUUUUGAUCACCUGAGAGAUCAGGUUUCCCCUUCGGGGGCAAAAUGACAGGUGGUGCAUGGUUGUCGUCAGCUCGUGUCGUGAGAUGUUGGGUUAAGUCCCGCAACGAGCGCAACCCUUAUGACUAGUUGCCAGCAUUUAGUUGGGCACUCUAGUAAGACUGCCGGUGACAAACCGGAGGAAGGUGGGGAUGACGUCAAAUCAUCAUGCCCCUUAUGACCUGGGCUACACACGUGCUACAAUGGAUGGUACAACGAGUUGCGAGACCGCGAGGUCAAGCUAAUCUCUUAAAGCCAUUCUCAGUUCGGACUGUAGGCUGCAACUCGCCUACACGAAGUCGGAAUCGCUAGUAAUCGCGGAUCAGCACGCCGCGGUGAAUACGUUCCCGGGCCUUGUACACACCGCCCGUCACACCAUGAGAGUUUGUAACACCCGAAGCCGGUGGCGUAACCCUUUUAGGGAGCGAGCCGUCUAAG